UCCGUAGGUGAACCUGCGGAAGGAUCAUUACCGAGUGAGGGUGUCCUUACGGAGCCCGACCUCCCAACCCUGUGUCUACCACACCUUGUCGUUGCUUCGGCGGACCGGUCGACCCACCGGUCCUGACUGCCGGGGAACUCCCUGGAGAGCGUCCGCCGAUGGCCCAACCACAAAAUUCUUGGACCAACGCUUUGUCUGAAUGUUUGAUCAUGAUCAAAACCAAAAAACUUUCAACAACGGAUCUCUUGGUUCUGGCAUCGAUGAAGAACGCAGCGAAAUGCGAUAAGUAAUGCGAAUUGCAGAAUUUCCGUGAGUCAUCGAAUCUUUGAACGCACAUUGCGCCCAUUGGUAUUCCGAUGGGCAUGCCUGUUCNAGCGUCAUUAUCCUCCCUCAAACCUCGGGUUUGGNGUUGGACCCGUUGUGNAGUGAACAACUGGUCUUAAAGACAAUGACGGCGUCCGUGGGACCCUCGGUGCAACGAGCUUGAAGGAGCACGCGUCGAGUUUAAAGGACCCUCCGGGCCGGUCUGCCUCUCUUUCUCAGGUUGACCUCGGAUCAGGUAGGAAUACCCGCUGAACUUAAGCAUAUCAAUAAGCGGAGGAA
rnacentral:sRNA from 1 species